rnacentral:misc_RNA from 1 species
UACGAAGGGGGCUAGCGUUGUUCGGAAUUAUUGGGCGUAAAGCGCACGUAGGCGGCUCUUUAAGUCUCUUGGUGAAAGGCCGGGGCUCAACCCCGAGCAUGCCGGGGAUACUGGGGGGCUGGAGACAGGCAGAGGCCAGCGGAAUUCCGGGUGUAGCGGUGGAAUGCGUAGAGAUCCGGAAGAACACCGGAGGCGAAGGCGGCUGGCUGGGCCUGAUCUGACGCUGAGGUGCGAAAGCGUGAGGAGCGAACAGG